GCAGCCCGCCAACAGGCACCGUCGGAACCGAUAUGGAGCAGUGGCCGCCGCCGGUGCCGUCUGCUCCCGGAGCCUCCCAUACCUUCCUCAGCUCCACCGCCAACCACGACCACCCCCCACCUAGCCAUCUCCUCCACCACCUUCCCCGCCUCCUCCAUUGUCGAGCUCGGCAGGCACGCCGCCGACGCCAUACCUCCGCCAGCGCCUCUCCUACCUCCUCUGCCAGAGAAGUGCCACCUCCCAGCAUCACCACCACACACUAUUCCUCCUGGCCACCCCCUACGCGUCCUACACAGUCUCCUCCGAUGCCGACCUCCACAAGUACGCCGGCGGCUCUGUCCGUGCCCCAACGCUUCUCCGGCCUCCUCGCUUUCCUGCCGCUGAAUACCGCUCACCCACCACAAGCAGCACCUCCCCAUCCUCCUCGCCACCUCCCCCUUCUUCUCGGAUGCUGACCUCUGCAAGUACACCGCCGACUACACGCUGCUCCUCCUGCUAUUUCCCCUUCCUGGCUGACGCGCUCUAUGGCCUGUUCUGGUGCUAUGCUCGGCUACCGCCUCUACUUCCCAAACCUCAACAUGCCCAUCCUUGUCGCCUCCUAAAUUCAAAUUUUCUGUCAUCCAAAUCCACGCGCUUAUGUCGAACUGUCUAGAAACUACUCCUGCAGCCCAUUAUAAAUUAAGUGAGCAGGUAGAUGAGACUCACGCUACUCGGACCACAUCCUAAGAAGCAACACACUGGUUACACUCUCACACCUUCAGAUUGAACAGAGUGUGAGGAGGUGGAUUCACUGCCUUAGCCUUCUGAUCUGCUUCGCCAAGGGCAUAGGUCCAAAAGACAUUCAGUAAGAGUAGGAGUUUCCUGGAGAAAACCACGGAUUGAGGUCUGAAGCUGAAGAACUACAUGGUCAAUAAAGCAGCAGGCCUUACGUCUGAAAUGAUACAGCCCUUGUGCCAACAAAGUGCUGAAGGAAAACAAAAAGUGGUUGACGGCAGUAACAAGUCCAACAGAACUUGCCCCAAUGGCAUCCCAUAUGUUCGAACAAGUUUAUUUACGUGAAUCAACGAUGCGACAAAUUUAAGUCAUUCAUCUUCAGAUGAUGAAGUGAUAAAACAAUCAGCGCUUGUGAUUUUUCCUACUUGUAGUGGUGUGCUCACAUCAAUUGAGGUCUUGGAGCGAGGAGAAAGCUCAAAAGGGUGAAAGCGUGAAUGUGAAGCAAUAAGAUAUGCUAGCCGUACACCAGAAGAAAUCCAAGCAAGGCGAGUAAGUGUUAGAGCAUGUCAGCAAAAUAUGACACCUAAAGAGAAGGAGCCCGUCCCAGAAUGUGAGAUUGUAAAACAUGGUCAUUGAUAAUUUUGUUAUUAAGCAGUGCUUGCUGGAGAUGAAAAUCAAAGAGAUCACACCCCAUUGGUACAGGUGAGCGGAGUGGAGGUGUACGUUGCACUGAGGGUGAAGCAGUGGCUGAAAGUUAAGACUGGUUUUCUGUGCUUCACAAGCUGCUUUGUAGCAAAGUUAAAUACUCUGUUUUUUACAGUGAGGGGAGAUACUCUGUUUUUUGAUGGAAGAUACUCUGUUUUGUGGCUGGGGGAGCGUGUUAUUUCGGUCCUAUUCUUGUACAUCUAACCGUAAUAACAAUUGAUUACGCUCUCUGUUGAUUUUCGCGGCGUAACUUUUUUUUAGGCUAA